CUCUCCCUUCUUUGCUUCGAGGAAUUUUAAUUUAUCUCACCCAGCCAUGGCCGACGGGGAAAGGUGUUCAUCAUGAAGGCGAGGAGAGGGGAGGGGAGGACGAUUACUCGCCUGAGGAAGCUCAUCCGGUCAUCCCCAUCACCGGCCCCACUCCAGCCAUCGCUUCAUCCGGUCAUCCCCAUCACCGGCCCCACUCCAGCCAUCGCUUCUCCUCUCCUUGGCGAAUGCUCCCCUGCGUCGAUGCUUCUCCGGCGGUAAUUGAAGUAGGCACGCGCUGCGGCCUGCCUAUGUUAUGCACGCCGUUGCCGUGGCGAUCUCAUCUAGUCAUCUAGCCAGCCCAGCCCGUGUUUGCAUUUGUGUAAGUAUUCUCCUCCUUGAUUCUUCUUCUCCACGCCAACUAACCGAACCAUCCAUAACGUGUUCGAUGAAAUGCCUAAGUGCUGCUCCCUUUCCCUAUUGUCUCACGGCAUCAUAUCAUAUGCUCUGGAAGCUCUGAAUAUCUGACGAUGGGUCUGGUGGUAGUUUAAUCGUAACCACCUCGAUCCAAAGCCACUUGUUAACAUGUUUUACAACUUGGUUCAGGGGAUUACCCCUUGAGGUCUCUUAUUAGUUGUACAUGUGAGUUUGGUAUGAAUGGUUUGCCUGCAUUCACCUGCUAAUUCGUACGUUCAGUAUUUGUUUGAUAAGAGACCCCCCCCCCCCCCAACCUCGAUUUGAAAUCCACAUGCUGCAAUUUGUUUGACAAGAGAUUUAACAACUACAAUGAUGUUUCAUCUGUCAAGAUAUAGAACCUGAAGCAUGGAACCAACCAUUAUCAUCACACUUCCAUCUGUACCUAGUGGUAGCAGAUCUUCACCAUGCUCACUCCUGCUGUAAUGCCUCUUGCCUACCAUUUUUCGAGAUGGGGAAUAUGGUCAUUUGUAACUGCAUUAACUUGUAAGUCUUCAUUCUAUUUAACCAGGGUCCUGGCGCUAAACUUUUUCACUUAGUUCUCUUUAUUUUGUUAUCCUGUUAUCAAAGCAGUUUGUAUUACAUACAUACGUUUAUUAUAACAAAUGAACAUGUACCUAAGGUUCACCUUGAUGUUUCUGACCUUGGGCAAGGUAGGCUGAAAGUCCUUAUUACAAUUGUUGUCGAGGUGUUCGGCAAAUACCUUGUCAUAUAUCCAAUUAGAAAUGAUCUCAUGCUAGGGUGGGGGGGGGGGGGCAAGCGUUAAUUAUUUAUAUGGUAUUCCUAUCCAUCAUUUGUCUGUAAGUUUUACUUUCUGCAGAUAUUAAUUGAUUGUAACUUAGUUUCAUAUUGCUUAACAAUGCAUCGUGGGAAAAUGAGGAUGGAAUUUAGAGAAGGCAUAUGCAGAUAGCUCUAAGGCAAUACAUAUCAUUGUUUUUUUCUACCGACCGCCUAGGUUUCAGGCUUCUCAACUUUCCACAGCACAGAAGUCUUGGUUGUCAGUUUAAUGUCCAUCCGAUUACCAUUUGGUAUCAGCUUCCUAGGUAGGUUACUCGCUAAUGUGAUACCCAGUUUGAUGAAUCACCUCAUCCUAGCUGGAGUGGUCUAUCAUUGGUUCAUCCUAUGAAUUUCCGUGGAGAUAAUGCCAUCCCUCAUGUUUAUACUAUUCGUGGGCAUAUGAGGCAUGAGUGUUGGUUAAUCAACACAUCCCAUUCUUCAAACGAAACAUAAAUGUGGCAGAGGGUGGCAGAUCACCCCAUUCUUCAAUCAAACCAAACACUCCAUAAUCUAUUCCACGUACUGCAUACCCCCCACCCCCAAAAAAAGAAGUGCAAGUUUGUUCGCAAACCCUUUCCUAGAUCUUAGUUGGCAAUUCUUGCAGUCACUUUCUUAGUUUGUGCCUUGCUUGGAGCAGCCGGAGCAUGCUGAAGGUUUAUGGCUGGUGAAACAAGGAUGAGCCUCCGACCAAAGGGGUCCCCAACAGCUCUCUGCAAUUACUGGCUGUACAGGUGCUGAUGAUGUUUGAGAACUGCUAGAUUUGAGGGACAUCAAUAAUUGGAGCAUAACAGAUCUGAACCGUGUUUUCCAUUCUUUCAAUUUCUGAUGCAUGGUAUUUUCAAAUAACAGAUUGGUGCAUCAUAUAGUGAAGUCAAAGAGCUCUUAAAUGCACCCAAAAUGAUCCAUGAAUAUCUUCAUAUAAAUUCAAAGAGUCCAAACAUUCAGCCUUGUUAUCUGUAGAGUGCAGACUCUUGUUCAAAGAAUAUUUUCUUCCAAAUUUGUUGACUUGGUUUGUUUUGGUUUACACUUUAGUGCUCUUUGUGUAGGGAUAGUGACAAGGUAACAUUGGCAAAUGCUGUCACUAGCAAGUAAGUGGGCAACGAAUGGUGAUGCUGAUCCUGUCCCUGACAAACUCAGUACUCAGUGUUUCCUUUUCCUUGUUUGGCCAGUCUGCACUAAAAAAAGGGGCAUACCCAGUGCCGUAGGCUUCCCGCACUGUGCGGGGUCUGGGAAAGGGUUGUCUUUUAAGCCCCAAGCCUUACCCACACAAAUGUGCAGAGGCUGGGGCUCAAACCCGGUACCUUCCGGUUACAGACGGUAGGCUCUACCGCUGCACCAGGCCCGCCCUUCUUUUGGCCAGUCUCCACUACACAACCAAAUCAAUUCUCGCUACUGUGAUGAAUUUUAGCGAUAACUUGCACUGCAGCAAGCAAGAUGGCAAUAUGGCAUUAUGCAGUGGGGAUAUCUUCUAGGAGUUGUGAUCUGUGAAUGGAAAGAAAGCAGGAUCCUUGCCAAACUAUGGUGAAGCGCCUUUGCCUAGGUGGCUGAGAUCACAGCACAUUUGAGCUGUAUACCAUUGAGUGGAUCAACAUAUCAUCCAUCCAGGUUAAGGAUUCUUUCUUUUUUUACUUGGAUCAAACAAUUCCCUCUCACUGCUUUCCUGCCCAAAGCUUCUUCUGGCAGAUUAGGAUCUUGUCCUUGUCAGUCUUGUUUUCAGGGUUACGCCUCUCACAGCUCCAUCUCAUUCCUUUGGCAAUGGCUGCUACAGAAUCCAGGAAGUAGGUGCUCUCCCUGAUUAUCGCAUAACCCGUGGGGCAAAGGAUGCGGUCCAUCUCAAGAAGUACAAACUUCAUCUCACACCUGCAAUUAGUGAUGUUAUCAAGUAUUUUUUUGGGGCACCUCUAUAGUUAAAAAAGUUGUAUUUUUUCCUUUGUUUAAUCUGAAUUCAUGUCUGACCAAUAAAAGGACAACUACCAUAGAGUUGGUUUGA